rnacentral:tRNA from 1 species
GGGGCUGUAGCUCAACUGGUAGAGCGCUUGAAUGGCAUUCAAGAGGUAACGAGUUCGACCCUCGUCAGCUCCA